CACACAGAGGAGGAGGACGUGGACGCUGCCGACGUCUCCCGCGUGCCCGCAGACGUGCUGCGUGAUGUCGAGGCAGACACGUACUGGUGCGUGAGCAAGCUGCUGGAUGGCAUUCAGGACAACUAUAACUUUGCCCAGCCUGGGAUUCAAAUGAAGGUGAAGAUGUUGGAAGAGCUCGUGAGCCGGAUUGACGAGCAAGUCCACCGGCACCUGGACCAGCACGAGGUGAGGUACCUGCAGUUCGCCUUCCGCUGGAUGAACAACCUGCUGAUGCGGGAAGUGCCCCUGCACUGCACCAUCCGCCUGUGGGACACCUACCAGGUGAGCUGUCCCCG